rnacentral:rRNA from 1 species
UACGUAGGUGACCAGCGUUGUCCGGAUUUACUGGGCGUAAAGAGCUCGUAGGCGGUCUGUCGCGUCUGCUGUGAAAACUCGGGGCUUAACCCCGGGCCUGCAGUGGGUACGGGCAGACUAGAGUGCGGUAGGGGAGACUGGAAUUCCUGGUGUAGCGGUGAAAUGCGCAGAUAUCAGGAGGAACACCGGUGGCGAAAGCGCUCUGCCGGACCUUAACUGACACUGAGGGACGAAAGCUAGGGGAGCGAAUGGG